CCUACGGGUGGCUGCAGUGAGGAAUAUUGGUCAAUGGGCGCGAGCCUGAACCAGCCAAGUAGCGUGAAGGAUGACUGCCCUACGGGUUGUAAACAUCUUUUAUAAAGGAAUAAAGUGAGGCACGUGUGCCUUUUUGUAUGUACUUUAUGAAUAAGGAUCGGCUAACUCCGGGCCAGCAGCCGCGGUAAUACGGAGGAGUCGAGCGUUAUCCGGAUUUAUUGGGUUUAAAGGGAGCGUAGAUGGGUUGUUAAGUCAGUUGUGAAAGUUUGCGGCUCAACCGGAAAAUUGCAAUUGAUACUGGCAGGCUUGAGUAUAGUUGAGGUAGGUGGAAUUCGAGGUGUAGCGGUGAAAUGCUUAGAGAUCACGAAGAACACCGAUUGCGAAGGCAGCUUACUAAACUGCGACUGACGUUGAGGCGCGAAAGUGUGGGUAUCAAACAGGAUUAGAUACCCGUGUAGUC
rnacentral:rRNA from 1 species